rnacentral:rRNA from 1 species
GGACGAACGCUGGCGGCGUGCUUAACACAUGCAAGUCGAGCGGUAAGGCCCUUCGGGGUACACGAGCGGCGAACGGGUGAGUAACACGUGGGUGAUCUGCCUCGCACUCUGGGAUAAGCCUGGGAAACUGGGUCUAAUACCGGAUAUGAGCASSSASUGCAUGSUSSGKGUUGGAAAGGUUUACUGGUGCGAGAUGGGCCCGCGGCCUAUCAGCUUGUUGGUGGGGUAACGGCCUACCAAGGCGACGACGGGUAGCCGGCCUGAGAGGGCGACCGGCCACACUGGGACUGAGACACGGCCCAGACUCCUACGGGAGGCAGCAGUGGGGAAUAUUGCACAAUGGGCGAAAGCCUGAUGCAGCGACGCCGCGUGAGGGAUGACGGCCUUCGGGUUGUAAACCUCUUUCGACAGGGACGAAGCGCAAGUGACGGUACCUGUAGAAGAAGCACCGGCCAACUAC